UACGUAGGGUGCAAGCGUUAAUCGGAAUUACUGGGCGUAAAGGGUGCGUAGGUGGCUCUAUAAGUAUGGUGUGAAAUCUCCCGGCUUAACUGGGAGGGUGCGCCGUAGACUGUGGGGCUAGAGUGUGGGAGAGGAAAGUGGAAUUCCUGGUGUAGCGGUGAAAUGCGUAGAUAUCAGGAGGAACACCGGUGGUGUAAACGGCUUUCUGGACCAUAAACUGACACUGGAGGCACGAAAGCGUGGGUAGCAAACAGG
rnacentral:rRNA from 1 species